GACCAACAUGGAGAAACCCUGUCUCUACUAAAAAUACAAAAUUAGCCAGGCAUGGUGACCCAUGCCUGUAAUUCCAGCUACUCAGGAGGCAGAGGCAGGAGAAUGGCUUGAACCCAGGAGGUGGAGGUUACGGUGAGCCGAGAUCGAGCCACUGCACUCCAGCCUGGGCAACAAGAACGAAGCUCCAUAUCAAAAAAAAAAAAAGAAAAAAAAAAGACCUAAGGAGGGGGAAAAAUGAAGGAAUCUCUUCAAACUCAGCCUUUACGCAAACACAUGAAAAAUCACAGACUCAUUUGUCUGCAGUCCCAAAUCAGGUCAUUAAGAAAACGUGGUGGGCCGGGCGCGGUGGCUCACGCCUGUACUCCCAGCACUUUGGGAGGCCGAGGCGGGCGGAUCACGAGGCAGAAGCCCCUGAGUAAGGCCGCCGCUGCCACCCACUGCCCCUGAAAGGACAUCUGAGCACAGUGAUUCCGGUGGUGCCAGGACUCCAACCAGCAAGGAGCGUUUCGCACAGAGCUGCAGAGAGUCUGUGCCUUCCAACGAGAGCCGUGUCCCGAACGCCAUCCACUUAGCUCUCACUCUCCUCCUUCCUCCUUUCCCUGCCGCUUUCUGUUUUUCAUCAGGGCCUUGGAACUCGCUAGUACAGACCGACUUUCAAGUUAAGUCUUUCAAGGAAAAUGACUCUUGGUUUCCAGCCUGGAUGUGUCAUUACACCCUCAUGCGUCUCA
rnacentral:lncRNA from 10 species